UUAAUAGAACACACACUUGGGUCAGUUAACUUAAAUCAGAUGUUGGGGUGAAAUUAAUUAUUCACCCCAAUUUUAAGAAUUUUUCAAUCCUUCGGCCAUUUUUAUAUAGCUUCAUUGAAGCUAACUGAGCCCACUGAAUCACAAAUAGGCCCCCAUCCGGCCCUCCCAGUGGGAGGCACGUAAAGAAUUAAAUUAGUUGCCAUGCUUUUGUUUAUUGUCGAAAAACAAAUUGAAUAGUUUUAAUUUGGUUUUUUUAUUCAAUUUUAAUUAUUAUUUUUAAAGAAUUUUGAUUUCAUUAAUUUAAUAAAAAAAUAUCGAUUUUUCAAUUUA
rnacentral:misc_RNA from 1 species